GCCCCGGUAGCUCAGUGGAUAGAGCGUUUGCCUCCGGAGCAAAAGGUCGUGGGUUCGAAUCCCGUCCGGGGCACAA
rnacentral:tRNA from 4 species